GCCAAGCUUCAGGAGGUGCUGGGAACCAAGACCUCAUCCUUCCCUCAGGACACGUGAAAUUCAGCCAAGGAAGGGCUCAAGGUCAGAGCCUAGUCAACAAGAGGGCUCCCAGGAGGCUUUGGUCAGGAGAGAGACUUGGUCAGAGUGCUUCCAGCAGGAAAGGCCUAUUUGGGCUGCAGAAUGAAAGCCGACAGACGUUGCACGGCGGCAGAUUUCCAAGCAGAGAGAAGGAACCUUCCCCAGUCCUGCUUCUAAGAACAAAGUCCAGGAGGUGUCCUGUGUGUCUCACCAAUUCACAAACCAAAGUCCGCCCCCUCCGGUUCAGUUUGGCAGCUGGUCGGGCCGAGCUACGGGAUGGCACAGCAAGACCGGUUCCGACCCUCAGCCUCACCUGUCUCUCAUUCCCACGGCCACCAUAGCCACCAGCACCUGUAACUUCUCCCAGACUGUCCAGAGAUGCCGCUUUUCGGAGGUGGUGCUAUGAAAUAAAGUCGUCGGUGGGUACUUCGUGGCAAACAGCCCAGCUGUGCCUGCUCAGGUGCCCUUCCUCCUUCUCUGUCUCAUUCUUUUUCUCUUGCUUCAGAGCAAGGUUGCGCAGCAACCUGCUAUUGUCAGGUUCGGCUUUCUAAGGACUGCAGACUAUGAUAAUUACAAUUACCAACCUAGAGCACACUGGAUGGAAGCUGAUCUGGUUCUUUUCAUUAACUUCAGAGUCAGGACUAUUUACCCUGGCCCCAUCGGAAUCCAAUUCUGGAACAUUCUAACCUAGCGGGGCUCUUGGGGUCAACCCCAUGAUCUUGACAGCUGAGGACACCAAGACCCAAAGAGGGAAGGGGAUUGCUUGAAAUCGCAUAUGCCCUGUCCGUGGUGUGUGAAUAUAGCACACAGACUUAGUGCCUCCAGCAUCGGAUUUCCGUAACCCAUUAUUUCAUCCUGUGCUUGCAAAUUGGGUCAUUAACACUGCUGUCCCCGUUUGAUGCAUAAGUCACAGAGGCUCAGAAAAAGUGCAGUGAGAUGUUCAAGGUCACCAUGCUAGCAAAUGGAAGAGUCAGGUUGAUGCUGGGACUCCCAGCUAGGUCUUUCCCUAGCUGCCUUCUGGUAGUCUUGGGAGCCGGGCAGAAAACUAAACCUGGCUUUUGGAGGAACGCAGGCUUUCAGUUCAAGCCCCAGUCCAGCCACUGAAGAGCUCUGUAACCUUGAGUUACUUAAUUUCUCCAAGACAAUUUUUUAAUCCCCAAACUGGGGAUCCUGUCAUCUACUCCUAGUGGGGCUAUGAAGAGGAAGUGAGAUAUUUUAAUCUUUAAAAACAGUAUCUGUACACAGUGAGUGUUUAAUAAAUACUAGCUAGCAUCGGUUUCUGGAAUCAAAGAUGCCUUCCUAAAACAAUACUAGCUUCUCUUCUUGAGGUGUUUACUAAGCGACAGGCAUGGCGCUAAAGGUUUUCCAUAGAAGGAAUCUCUCUGGCCAUCGUAACCUCACCGAUGGAGGGAAGAUGAGGGGAACAUCUGCUACCCCCUCUUCAUUUCUUGUUGCCUCUGCCAAUAGUUCAAAACUUCCCGUCACUUAUGUACCCUUGUUGGACUUUGCCGUAUCUGUGUACCAGUUUCCACUGUUUUUUAAAGCGAACUCAACCCACAAUGUGAGGCUCCAACUCAAGCAAGAACACUACCAGAUAUUGGGCCUGAGUGCUAGUUAUAUUUUUCCUUAUACAUAUUAAAACACACACAUCCACCAUUAAAAUGGAAACCGCUGUUAUUGAAAAUAUCCCAGGGCGGGGAGGAUAGAACAAGAUCGGAAAAUCCUCCAGGAAGAAAUAAGAUAGGAUAGCGUUGGGAAAGCAUCAAUCAUUCUGAUUCUGAUUCUAACAUCAAUCUAAUUUUCCGUGUCUUUGACGUUUUCAUAGUAAAAUUGUUUUUUUAAAAAAACGAAGUAAAACACAGUGGUCAGACCCAGAGGUGGGGAGGAGAAUGUUCUUUCGUGGAGACCUAAAACCACGUCACACUCCCCAGUGGGAAACACUAGCCCAUGAUACCUACUAGAAGGUCAGAGUCAUGGGGACAGACACUCAGGCUUCAUUCUUCCACAUGGGCUACACCCCCUGUGCUUUAAACAACCAGUCCUAGAGAUAAACCCGCAUGAAAGUCUGCUGAAUCGAUGAGUGAAGGAUUAUCAAGCCUCUUACCUUCCUUGUGGUCUCCUCGGAUGCCCUGACAUGCUAACUCUCUCCAGAAAGGGGGCAACCAAUUAACUUGGAGAUUUGUCCCCCAACAGGACUAGCACUGCAAAAAGAAGCCUUGUGGGAGGAGCCCCAGCUGUUUUCCCAUUCAAGGCCACACCAUUUGGCACCUGUGGCCACGGAAAACAUCCAGGAAGUCUCAGUAACUGUCCACAAUCACACUCAGCGGGUACAAGACAUUGUCUGCUAAAUGCGGCCAAAUGGAUUCCGUGAUGGGCCUAGGCUAUUGGGCUUUAUGUAUUUGGUCAGAAAGUCUCCUAAACAGAUGCUGUGAAGUUGUACAACCGGUGUGUCCCAAGUGGCUUUAAGUGCCAUCAGCCUGGGAAAAGAGGAGGGACCGAGGUGGUCUUGGGAACCAGAAAUGACCCUGUGCUUUAGUAGGAACCCGACGUCUACCUGCAGCCCAGCAUCCUCUGUGCCUCUUCUGAGCUGCUGGGAAACACAUCCUCGCCCACUCACACCUGCAGCUGAGCAAAACGCCACCUUCUCUCCGAAGCUACUCUCUGGGAUAUUCUGGGAUCGCAUCGGGGUACCAAAUUAGGUGCCUCAAUUAACGGUUGAAUAUACUCCAAGUCUAAAUCUAUCCGGGAAGAUAGAAAGACCUCGGUGGGAUCGCUUUUUGUGUAUAUAAUUAAAAGACAGUAAGAGUAUGCUGCUUUAUCACGCAAAGCAAUUACAACAUCAUUUCUCUUUUCCUUUGCUGGAGGAUAUGGGCCAAAUUUCUAUUAAAUAUCUGUA